UACGAAGGGGGCUAGCGUUGCUCGGAAUCACUGGGCGUAAAGGGUGCGUAGGCGGGUCUUUAAGUCAGGGGUGAAAUCCUGGAGCUCAACUCCAGAACUGCCUUUGAUACUGAAGAGCUUGAGUCCGGAAGAGGUGAGUGGAACUCCGAGUGUAGAGGUGAAAUUCGUAGAUAUUCGGAAGAACACCGGUGGCGAAGGCGGCUCACUGGUCCGGUACUGACGCUGAUGUGCGAAAGCGUGGGGAGCAAACAGG
rnacentral:rRNA from 1 species